UACGUAGGGGGCUAGCGUUGUCCGGAAUCAUUGGGCGUAAAGAGCGCGUAGGCGGCCAGAUAAGUCCGGUGUGAAAGUCACAGGCUCAACCUGUGAAUGCCGCUGGAAACUGUCUGGCUAGAGUCCGGAAGGGGCGAGUGGAAGUUCCUGGUGUAGCGGUGAAAUGCGCAGAUAUCAGGAGGAACACCAAUAGCGAAGGCAGCUCGCUGGGACGGUACUGACGCUGAGGCGCGAAAGCGUGGGGAGCAAACAGG
rnacentral:rRNA from 1 species